AAUAACGUGCUUGACAAAAAGAUCGUCUUGAUGGGACGGAAAAUGAGAGGCAGCCUCUCCGUUAUUA
rnacentral:tRNA from 3 species